CCUUUUUCAGAAGCAAACCUCAGUUAGAAAAAACACAAGUGAAAAAGAUGUGAUCUUUACAGUCCAAAGAUCAAUGCAAGAACAAAACCCCCCAAAUUUGUCUACAUCAAUCAUGAGUAAUUCACCAAAUUACAUAAAAACCCACCAGAAUAGAACAAUCACAGAGUCAUUUCUUACAUGGGUCCGGCCAAAUUUUGAUUAAAGACUGGUUCUUGUAAUUGGGAAUAGAGAAGGGGAAGAAGAAGAAGAAGAAGAAGAAGAAGGUGAGAAGAAAGAAGAAGAAGAAGAAGAAGAAGAAGAAGAAGAAGAAGAAGAAGAAGAAGAAGAAGAAGAAGAAGAAGAAGAAGAAGAAGAAGAAGAAGAAGAAGAAGAAGAAGAAGAAGAAGAAGAAGAAGAAGAAGAAGAAGAAGGUGAGAAGAGAUUCUUGUUCUUUACCUUCUGGGAUUCCACGUGCAGUAAAUGAUCGUGACAAUACACAGAGCAACUAGUGCAAAACUAAAUUGAAGUAAGAAAAAACAAGAAGAAUGGAGACUGGAGAAAAUUGUUGGCUCCUUUUAGUUUUUUCUGUGAAUUUGAUGAAGUGGGAGUAGAUGGAUGAAAUUAGAGAAGAAAACACUUUGAAAAGAGGAAGAAAA
rnacentral:lncRNA from 1 species